AUUGAACGCUGGCGGCAGGCCUAAUACAUGCAAGUCGAACGGUAACAUAAAAGAAGCUUGCUUCUUUUGAUGACGAGUGGCGGACGGGUGAGUAAUAUUUGGGAAACUACCUGAUAGAGGGGGACAACAGUUGGAAACGACUGCUAAUACCGCAUAAAGCCUGAGGGUGAAAGCAGCAAUGCGCUAUCAGAUGUGCCCAAACGGGAUUAGCUAGUUGGUGGGGCAACGGCCUACCAAGGCGACGAUCAGUAGCCGGUCUGAGAGGAUGAACGGCCACAUUGGGACUGAGAUACGGCCCAGACUCCUACGGGAGGCAGCAGUGAGGAAUAUUGGUCAAUGGGCGAGAGCCUGAACCAGCCAAGUAGCGUGCAGGGAAGACGGGCCCUAUGGGUUGUAAACUGCUUUAUAGGGAAUAAAGUGAGCCACGUGUGGUUUUUUGUCAUGUACCCUAUGAAUAAGGACCGGCUAAUUCCGUGCCAGCAGCCG
rnacentral:rRNA from 1 species